UGUUGUUUAGGUAUCCUCACAUUGAAAAUGAUCACUUGGUAAAGCUUUUGAAGCAAUUGAUUUCAAGUACAGCCCCACCAUCAAGGGGUAUGUGUGGUGGAAAUGCUCCAAAUGCAGCUGAUGUACCUACUCUCUUGGGGCAGCGUUCAUUUUCACUUCUGACCUAUGAAAGGGAUCAAGUAAACAAAGAAAUGAAACGCCCUCCUGCUCACAUGCGUUGGCCUCACGCGAAAGCUCAUCAGGUUCAUGGGCUAAGCUUGAGAGAAAUUGGGGGAGGAUUCACUAGACAUCACCGUGCACCAUCUAUCCGUGCUGCAUCUUAUGCCAUUGCAAAGCCGUUGACCAUGUUUCAGAAGAUGAAAAAUACUACAAGGCUAAGGGGACAUCGAAACGCU